UUCGAUUUGUUCAGUAACACAUACCUGAACGUUAAGAUUGGUGUUUAAGCAACUCUGACUUUCGUGCGUUGUCGUUUCACCUAAUGCACUAAAAACAUGCGCAUCUUGGUUCCGGUCACCGCCCUAACAAGAAAAACAAAGUAAGACAUUCCUUACAGAAAGAGCUGUCUGUUCCAUGGCUUUUUGACUCACACGCAAAGUCAACAAAAUGUUGUUGAUCUUGAAUGUUUUUCUCAUUUAAAAGUCGUUCCUUUAAAGCCAUUGACACGUUUUUGCUAAAAACAAUUGGUAUCAAUUUUUAACAAUUAAAUAGAAUUAUUCUUUCGCAUGACAA